AUCAGAACAAGGAAAUUUUGUAACAAAGUACAUAAAUGAUCAUUGAACUGGAAUAUAGAAUAAAACUGUCAAUCUUAUAGUUGUCAAAGAGAAUUGAGAAGAAAGAGAAAUAAAAAUGCCCAUAAAUUUCUUUUUUUAUAUAUUUGUGAAUGCAAAGACAUUUAUCAAAAGAUAGCCAGGCAAGUACAAAAUACUAUUUAUCUAUCUAUCCUUCUCUCUAUCAUCUAUCUAUAUAACACACAUUCACACAAAUAUGUAUAUAAUAUAUAAAAUGUAAUAUAUCUUUAAUGAUAUGAUAUUCUAAAAUAAAAGUUGCUUAAUAUAAAUGUGACUAUUAUAUUUUUAAAAAUUCCUAGGUUAUAUUUACCAAUUGUUUGUCAAGCAUAUUUCAUUAAGAUCACUUAUCUCGUGAUUUAUGUAAUUAAAUGUCAUAUGGAUAUUUUUAUACUUUGAAAUAUAUAAAUUUAGUUCUUGACAUAGGCAGAAGGAAGGGGAGAAUUGCUAAUCUAAUCCAUCAGUCAAGUAGCAAAUGAGAGUUAAUGGGAGGCAGUGAGAAAUCUGUUAUUUCCUUUCUCCCUGCUUGCUCCUGCCAAGAAGGUCAUCCAUGCCAGACUCAAAACAAGCUGCAGGGACAAGAAAGAGAAAUCUGUAAAAUUGCCUGGGCUGCAGAGGGAGACUCCAAGCUAGAAAGCAGACAAGAAGAUGGGAACAAAAUGGAAUAGCAUAUAAAAUGAGCAGUGGAGCUGUAAUGAAGUAAUUCAAGGACAUGAAGCUGGGCAUGUUUGUGCCACUGAAAAGAGACUGAAUUCCAAUGUGUCAGGACAAAAUUCAAGACGGAGAUGACCCAGGAUGCAAUGGAUGACCAUGGCUUUUCUGAACUACUUCUAUGGAGUCUUUCUUCUGACAGCCAAAAGCCAUUGGACUGCCUACCACACAACUCAUCCAGCCACCUGGGUAAGGACACCUAUGAAUUCAAUUAACUCCCUCCAAGGCCAGCUUUAAUCUUUGUCUUUCCAUAAGGCAGACCCUUUUGUUCAAAGUUUAGCUAAGCAAAUGAUUAGCUUCAGGCAAUAUGCAUCUCUGUUGUGAUCCAACAUAUGUUUAUACUCUCAAAGUGUAUAUUUAUAUUCCCCAUGUGUAAAGGUCAUCUUCUGCUAAUAAAUUCAUUGCUCACACAUUUUCAAGUUUGUGCUUAGAAAAAUGGUCUAUAAUUUCUCCUGGAACAGUUGGCACGUAGCAACUGAACUAUGAAGACAAAUAAGAACAGAUAAACUGAAUAUCCAAGUGAUGGUUUCCAGCAUCCUCCAAGUUUACAUUGUGACAAUUACUACAGUAUGUGUUUGAAUGAAUGAAUAAAUGAUUUAUCCCUUUCCAUCCAAGGGCCUUACUACCAGAAAAGGGUCUCUGACUUUCAGAUAUCUUCAUAUGGGUAGAAUUAAAUCAGGGGUUCUGGUGGGAGUAGAAGCUGACUCUAAAGAGAAGGAAUCAGGCUCUUCCUGGCUCUCUCUUUGGCUCACUCAGUCCCUGCCUCAGAGUUACAGAGAAAAUCUCUUCUACAAAGCUCAGAUGUGUCUCUUGUCUCUCCUAAAAGACAUCAGUAAUGUUUCUUCUAGAAAAAAAAAUAAACAUGUACACAAAAUAGUUAUCAGUUUUAAGACUUGGAUAAGGAUCUGCAAUUCCACUGCUAUAGAGAAUUCUUAGACCAGAAAGUUUUCUCUACCAAUGCAAGUCAAGUCAUAUGCAUACUUUCUGGGACCAAGGAACAGAUAUUUUAUUUUCCCUUUUUAUUUCUUCCUGCCUAUAUAGUCAUCCACAGGGGCUAAAUCUAUAAUUUAAACCCGAACUUUGUCUUUUUAGAAUUAGUCUCCUUGUGCCAAUGGUCAUCUCCUCUGAGAAGUAACAUCAGUGUAUUAUGUGUCAGGCACUCUACUAACCACUGGAGAGAUCAAGAACUUAAAAGACAGUGCCUGUUUGAGGAGCUCAAAAUCUAAUGGGGAAGCAACAUAUAAUUAUGUACAAUCAAUCUAUUAUAUGGGGAAAAGUAGAAAUAACCAAAAGAGGAAAGAAACUAGAAUUGAGAGGGAUUGGGAGAGGCGUAUUGUAGGAGGCAAGAUUUUAGCUGCUACUUGAGGUAGAGAUAAGGAAGAACAUUCCAGAUAUAGAAGAUAACUGGUAAAAAUGCUUGUAUUCAGGAAAUAAGAGUGUCUUAUUAGAGAAACAGGAAGGAGGUCAAAUUGCAUAGUAGCUUGUGGGAUGUGGGAUAGAGAAGAUCAGGAAACUUAAAGUAUAAGAAAAUUAAAAAGGUAGGGAAGUUCUAGCACCAAACCAGACACUCAAACCUCUGUGGUCACUGCCAAAUCUUGGAAUGUUGAUCUCUUAGGAUCAAUUAGAUCAUAAAGUGAUGAGAAUGAUGAUCCUAGAGCCAGGAAACUGAUUCGAGUUUGA